rnacentral:rRNA from 1 species
UCGAUUGUCCCAGCAGCCGCGGUAAUACGUAGGGCGCAAGCGUUAUCCGGAUUUAUUGGGCGUAAAGGGCUCGUAGGCGGCUCGUCGCGUCCGGUGUGAAAGUCCAUCGCUUAACGGUGGAUCUGCGCCGGGUACGGGCGGGCUGGAGUGCGGUAGGGGAGACUGGAAUUCCCGGUGUAACGGUGGAAUGUGUAGAUAUCGGGAAGAACACCGAUGGCGAAGGCAGGUCUCUGGGCCGUCACUGACGCUGAGGAGCGAAAGCGUGGGGAGCGAACAGGAUUAGAUACCCUGGUAGUCCACGCCGUAAACGGUGGACGCUGGAUGUGGGGCACGUUCCACGUGUUCCGUGUCGGAGCUAACGCGUUAAGCGUCCCGCCUGGGGAGUACGGCCGCAAGGCUAAAACUCAAAGAAAUUGACGGGGGCCCGCACAAGCGGCGGAGCAUGCGGAUUAAUUCGAUGCAACGCGAAGAACCUUACCUGGGCUUGACAUGUUCCCGACGACGCCAGAGAUGGCGUUUCCCUUCGGGGCGGGUUCACAGGUGGUGCAUGGUCGUCGUCAGCUCGUGUCGUGAGAUGUUGGGUUAAGUCCCGCAACGAGCGCAACCCUCGCCCCGUGUUGCCAGCACGUUAUGGUGGGAACUCACGGGGGACCGCCGGGGUUAACUCGGAGGAAGGUGGGGAUGACGUCAGAUCAUCAUGCCCCUUACGUCCAGGGCUUCACGCAUGCUACAAUGGCCGGUACAGCGGGAUGCGACAUGGCGACAUGGAGCGGAUCCCUGAAAACCGGUCUCAGUUCGGAUCGGAGCCUGCAACCCGGCUCCGUGAAGGCGGAGUCGCUAGUAAUCGCGGAUCAGCAACGCCGCGGUGAAUGCGUUCCCGGGCCUUGUACACACCGCCCGUCAAGUCAUGAAAGUGGGCAGCACCCGAAGCCGGUGGCCUAACCCCUUGUGGGAUGGAGCCGUCUAAGGUGAGGCUCGUGAUUGGGACUAAGUCGUAACAAGGUAACCA